GGGACUGGGGUUGGAUCACCUCCUUACCUUAAGAUGUCGUGUUGUUGAGUGUUCACACAGAUUGCCUUGAUUCAAGUUUAUUGACAGUAAACCCAGUGGGUCUGUAGUCCAUGUGGUUUUGGCGCACCCCUGAUAAGGGUGAGGUCGGUGGUGGUUUUGGGACAGACCCACCGGUUCUUUGCCUAUUAUGGGGCUAUAUCUCCACUGGCCGAGCGCCUGCUUUGCACCCCAGAGGUCUGCGGUUUUGGGUCCCCUUCUCCACCAUAAUCGGUACUGAAUUUUUUCAGAAGCAAAACCCGGGUUUUGAACCCUGUUGGGACUCCGUCUUUCAUUUCUUUAAGAAGUAUGCUCUUUUACAAACUGGAAAGCUGAUUUAAAUUUUAUUUCUCAAACAUUUGUUACAACUGCUUUUUUAACUUCUUGGAAAAAACAAAUUAAAAUUUGGUCCUUGUUGUUGGUAACAAGCUUUGGAAACUUCACUGGACACAAACCAGAGGUUGUAUGGUUCAUUGUCUAAGCGUACAAGGUGGAUGCGUUUCACCGACACUUCUUGGGGGUGUAUGGGUAAAUGACUAAAGCUACAUGGUGGAUGCCUU
rnacentral:misc_RNA from 1 species